rnacentral:tRNA from 1 species
GGUUGUAGCUCAGAGGUAGAGCGCUCGCCUAGCACGUGCGAGGCCCUGGGUUCCAUCCUCAGCACCA